AUGAACGCUAGCGACAGGCCUAACACAUGCAAGUCAGGGGCAGCACAAGGAGCAAUCUGAGGUGGCGACCGGCGCACGGGUGAGUAACACGUAUGCAACCUGCCUGUAAGCGGGGAAUAACCCGUUGAAAGACGGACUAAUACCGCAUAAUACUAAAUUACUGCAUGGUAAUUAUUUAAACAUUUAUGGCUUACAGAUGGGCAUGCGCAUGAUUAGCUAGUUGGAGAGGUAACGGCUCCCCAAGGCAACGAUCAUUAGGGGUUCUGAGAGGAAGGUCCCCCACACUGGUACUGAGACACGGACCAGACUCCUACGGGAGGCAGCAGUGAGGAAUAUUGGUCAAUGGACGAGAGUCUGAACCAGCCAAGUCGCGUGCAGGAAGAAUGUCCUAAUGGAUUGUAAACUGCUUUUGCAGGGGAAUAAAGUGCAUCACGUGUGAUGUUUUGUAUGUACUCUGCGAAUAAGGAUCGGCUAACUCCGUGCCAGCAGCCGC
rnacentral:rRNA from 1 species